UAUAACUACUUUGAUAACUGGUUCUUGUUGCUAAUUUUUCAAAAGUUAGUUGAUUCCCAUUGGCUGUAAUACAUGGCGUGAUGAAAUGUGUUUGCAUAAAUUGCAACAAUCUCAAGGUGGUGACGGAUCCGCGAUAUCAAGGUGACCUUGAUUUUCCCCUCUUAAUUAAAGAAGUCUGGAACUAUCGAUUUGGAGCCCACGAAAAAACUACAGCUAAAGUCUAAUUUAAGAAGCGGAAAGCCUCUAAUCUGUCAUACGUAUUAUCAUAGGCUUGCAUAUUAGCAACCCGUCUACUUUCACCGCGGCUUUUGAGCGAUGUUACGGAAUGGUAGUUUAAUUCUGUCCCCGAUUUAACACGUUCACCGCAGCGAAUUUUUUCAUGGUCUUUCAUACUUAGCGGCGUGCAUGAGUUAGUUAAACUCUAUGCCAGACUUUCAUGUCCAGCAGUACAGAGAAGAUAAGUAAUAUAGACUUUUUAUUAUAUAACGAAUUCGUAACUCUUAAUAAUGAAUAUUUUGGAUUUAAACAUUUUGUUUUGUUGUAGAUCUCAUGGAACCCUACAUGUAGAAAGUUUUUCUCUAAAGUGAAAUGCACAAUACGUAUGUAUUACAAAUUUGGUCAUUUUGAUGACACGUUUUGAUUCGUUAAUGUCUAAUCUACCAGAAAAAAUGUACCUAUGUACGUAAUAGACUGCGUAUAAAAAGUAUACGAACAUUUGGAUUUUAAUUAGCGAAAUUAGCAUUUCGACUAGCUUUUUGUGUUUUCUGACAACUGCGCGGCGACCAGCUAGGUAAAAGUGCUUGGAACAGCAUUCACAACCUAUUAUUACAUGCCAAGUUACACGGCACUUUUGCGCCGAGAGAGAGAAAGAGAGAGAACAUGUAACAGCCAGGUCGACGAGAGGCCACGGUCCGUAACCCAUGUUUCCUGUAUCCGGAAUAAUGCUCUCUCCCUAUAGGAAGCGCGCGCGCGCCAAAACGUUGAACGCACACUGACCAUAAAAUGAGGCAAUAUUUACCCAAAAAUUGAUCAAACAAAAUCGGACAUUUCAUAUGCAACGACCUAAUAGAUAGGCAAACUCACUUCUUCCAUCGGACUCCCGUGCGCCAGCUGACAAUGGAACACCAAAAGUGGCUUCAACACUUUGGAUGAUCGUCGUUGUUCUUGUGUUUGAUUGGGAGUAGCCGCAUUGUUCUUUUGAGCACGCGUGCCGCCCUCGUUGUUCGCGGCUUCCUG